CGGGGCGCAGCAGGCGCGCAAACUUUACAAUGCGAGCAAUCGUGAUAAGGAAACCCUGAGUGCCUGUCGAUGCAGGCUGUUCAUAUAUCUAAAUCAUAUGUGAAGAAAGGGCAGGGCAAGACCGGUGCCAGCCGCCGCGGUAAUACCGGCUGCUCGAGUGAUGGCCACUAUUACUGGGUUUAAAGCGUCCGUAGCUUGACUGUUAGGUCUCUUGGGAAAUCUUCGCGCUCAACGUGAAGGCGUCUAAGAGAUACCGGCAGUCUUGGAACUGGGAGAGGUAAACCGUACUUCGGGGGUAGGAGUGAAAUCUUGUAAUCCUCGAGGGACGACCUAUGGCGAAGGCAGUUUACCAGAACAGCUUCGACAGUGAGGGACGAAAGCUGGGGGAGCAAACGGGAUUAGAUACCCCGGUAGUCCCAGCCGUAAACAAUGUGCGUUAGGUGUGUCGGUAACCACGUGUUACUGAUGCGCCGAAGAGAAAUCGUGAAACGCACCACCUGGGAAGUACGGUCGCAAGGCUGAAACUUAAAGGAAUUGGCGGGGGAGCACCACAACAGGUGGAGCCUGCGGUUUAAUU
rnacentral:rRNA from 1 species